GAUGAAGAACGCAGCAAAAUGCGAUAAGUAAUGUGAAUUGCGGAAUUCAGUGAAUCAUCGAAUCUUUGAACGCACAUUGCGCCCGCCAGUAUUCUGGCGGGCAUGCCUGUUCGAGCGUCAUUUCAACCCUCAAGCACAGCUUGGUGUUGGGACUCGCGUUAAUUCGCGUUCCUCAAAUUGAUUGGCGGUCACGUCGAGCUUCCAUAGCGUAGUAGUAAAACCCUCGUUACUGGUAAUCGUCGCGGCCACGCCGUUAAACCCCAACUUCUGAAUGUUGACCUCGGAUCAGGUAGGAAUACCCGCUGAACUUAAGCAUAUCAAUAAGCGGAGGA
rnacentral:misc_RNA from 1 species